rnacentral:ribozyme from 1 species
GAAUUUACAAAAUUCCAGGAAAAAGGCCACAGCUGGGGGCAGUAGCAGUGGUCGAAAUCCGUACCUCUUUAGUAUGGAAUUGUGUGUGGGCAGUUUUUUGAUCUUGGCUGCCAGUUUGUUGGUAAGCAGUGAUGG